GGAAUUCGAUUAACGCGAAGAACCUUACCCAGGCUUGAACUGCAGAGGACACUCUACGAAAGUAGACUUCCGCAAGGACCUCCGUAGAGGUGCUGCAUGGCUGUCGUCAGCUCGUGUCGUGAGAUGUUGGGUUAAGUCCCGCAACGAGCGCAACCCUUGUCUUCUGUUGCCAUCGGGUUAUGCCGGGCACUCUGAAGAGACUGCCGGUGACAAACCGGAGGAAGGUGGGGAUGACGUCAAGUCAGCAUGGCCUUUAUGUCUGGGGCCACACACGUGCUACAAUGGCCGGUACAAACCGUCGCGAGCCCGCAAGGGGGAGCUAAUCGGAGAAAGCCGGUCUCAGUUCGGAUUGUAGGCUGCAACUCGCCUGCAUGAAGUUGGAAUCGCUAGUAAUCGCGGAUCAGCACGCCGCGGUGAAUACGUUCCCGGGCCUUGUCACACCGAAUCACUA
rnacentral:rRNA from 1 species